UACGAAGGGGGCUAGCGUUGCUCGGAAUCACUGGGCGUAAAGGGUGCGUAGGCGGGUCUUUAAGUCAGGGGUGAAAUCCUGGAGCUCAACUCCAGAACUGCCUUUGAUACUGAAGAUCUUGAGUUCGGGAGAGGUGAGUGGAACUGCGAGUGUAGAGGUGAAAUUCGUAGAUAUUCGCAAGAACACCAGUGGCGAAGGCGGGUCUCUGGACAGUUCCUGACGCUGAGGCACGAAGGCCAGGGGAGCAAACGGG
rnacentral:rRNA from 1 species